rnacentral:rRNA from 1 species
UACGUAGGGGGGCAAGCGUUGUCCGGAAUUAUUGGGCGUAAAGAGCUCGUAGGCGGUCUGUCGCGUCUGCUGUGAAAACUCGGGGCUUAACCCCCGGGCCUGCAGUGGGUACGGGCAGACUAGAGUGCGGUAGGGGAGACUGGAAUUCCUGGUGUAGCGGUGGAAUGCGCAGAUAUCAGGAGGAACACCGGUGGCGAAGGCGGGAUCCUGGGCCAGUACUGACGCUGAGGAGCGAAAGCGUGGGGAGCAACA